UGCGCCCUGCCAUGUGCGAUAAGUACGGCUUAUAAUGUUCCAACAUUUACCUAAAAGGGAGCUCUAUCUCCAACGAAAGACGGCAGACCUCCCGGCCUCGGCCGGACGAAGGGAGCUCGGCGACGUUGGGCGGCACCCACCUGCUUAUGCAGUAUCUUAUCAGUCGUAUCCGGCUUGGCGGGGUACUU
rnacentral:other from 1 species